rnacentral:rRNA from 1 species
UGGGGAAUUUUGCACAAUGGGCGCAAGCCUGAUGCAGCGACGCCGCGUGAGGGAUGAAGGCCUUCGGGUUGUAACCUUUUUCGCUCAUGGUCAAGCCGCAGCUUUGGGUUGUGGUGAGGGUAGUGGGUAAAGAAGCGCCGGCUAACUACGUGCCAGCAGCCGCGGUAAUACGUAGGGCGCGAGCGUUGUCCGGAAUUAUUGGGCGUAAAGGGCUUGUAGGCGGUUGGCCGCGUCUGCCGUGAAAUCCUCUGGCUUAACUGGGGGCGUGCGGUGGGUACGGGUUGACUUGAGUGCGGUAGGGGAGACUGGAAUUCCUGGUGUAGCGGUGGAAUGCGCAGAUAUCAGGAGGAACACCGGUGGCGAAGGCGGGUCUCUGGGCCGUUACUGACGCUGAGGAGCGAAAGCGUGGGGAGCGAACAGG